rnacentral:rRNA from 1 species
GACGAACGCUGGCGGCGUGCUUAACACAUGCAAGUCGAACGGUGAAGCGCCUUCCUUUUUGGUGGGUGUGGAUGAGUGGCGAACGGGUGAGUAACACGUGAGUAACCUGCCCCCUUCUUCUGGAUGACCUCAUGAAAGUGUGGCUAAUACGGGAUAUUCUGGGUCUGUCGCAUGAUGGGUCUGGGAAAGAUAUUGUUUCGGUGGGGGAUGGGCUCGCGGCCUAUCAGCUUGUUGGUGGGGUGAUGGCCUACCAAGGCGGUGACGGGUAGCCGGCCUGAGAGGGUGGACGGUCACACUGGGACUGAGACACGGCCCAGACUCCUACGGGAGGCAGCAGUGGGGAAUAUUGCACAAUGGGCGCAAGCCUGAUGCAGCGACGCCGCGUGAGGGAUGGAGGCCUUCGGGUUGUGAACCUCUUUCGCCAGUGAAGCAGGCCUGCCUCGUUUGUGGGUGGGUUGACGGUAGCUGGAUAAGAAGCGCCGGCUAACUACGUG